AUACCAUAUACAUUACAGACUCAAAUUCUAAGAACCUCCUAUAACUUGUUUUGCUUUAUUGUUUUUUCUAGACUGUGCUCCUUGUGAGUAGAAAGUGAACAAGCACCAGUAACAGAACUUGGAUAACUUGGUGCCCUGGGAAAUAUAGUUGAAUAAAUGACCACAAGGCUAUGAAUUUUUAAGUUGUCUUGCCUAUGGAGAAGAAGACUUAUACCUUUUGAUAUGGAAGAAAGGAACUAGCUUCAAGAAUAUAGAGCUGAUAAUGACUUUGAUGUUACAAGACUUACAGUCAAGCUGAAAUACUGGUGUCAGGAACGG
rnacentral:lncRNA from 1 species